GGNCUUACNAUGCAAGUCGAGGGGUAUAGGUUUUCGGACCUAGAGACCGGCGCACGGGUGCGUAACGCGUAUGCAAUCUACCUUUUACAGAGGGAUAGCCCAGAGAAAUUUGGAUUAAUACCUCAUAGUAUAUAGACCUGGCAUCAGGAUUAUAUUAAAGUCACAACGGUAAAAGAUGAGCAUGCGCCCCAUUAGCUUGUUGGUAAGGUAACGGCUUACCAAGGCAACGAUGGGUAGGGGUCCUGAGAGGGAGAUCCCCCACACUGGUACUGAGACACGGACCAGACUCCUACGGGAGGCAGCAGUGAGGAAUAUUGGUCAAUGGGCGCAAGCCUGAACCAGCCAUGCCGCGUGCAGGAUGAAGCAUCUAUGGUGUGUAAACUGCUUUUGUACGAGAAGAAACACUACUUCGUGAAGUAGCUUGACGGUAUCGUAAGAAUAAGGACCGGCUAACUCCGUGCCAGCAGCCGCGGUAAUACGGAGGGUCCAAGCGUUAUCCGGAAUCAUUGGGUUUAAAGGGUCCGUAGGCGGUUUUGUAAGUCGGAUGUGAAAUCCCCGGGCUUAACCCGGGAACUGCAUUCGAGACUGCAUUACUCGAGUAUGGGAGAGGGAAGCGGAAUUUCCGGUGUAGCGGUGAAAUGCGUAGAUAUCGGAAGGAACAUCAGUGGCGAAAGCGGCUUCCUGGCCCAAUACUGACACUCAUGUGCGAAAGCGUGGGGAGCAAACAGGAUUAGAUNACCCUGGGUAGUCCACGCCAUAAACGAUGAGAACUAGAUGUCGAAGAGGGUUAGCCUCACGGNGUCGCANCUAACGCGNUUAAGUUCUCCGNCCUGGGRAGUACGGNCCGCAAGGUUGAAACUCAAAGGAAUUGACGGGGACCCGCACAAGCGGUGGNAGCAUGUNGGUUCAAUNUCGAUGCAACGCGAAGANACCUNUACCUGGCCUUGACAUCCUNCGGAACUUGGCAGAGAUGCCUUGGUGCCUUCGGGAACCGAGAGACAGGUGCUGCAUGGCUGUCGUCAGCUCGUGUCGUGAGAUGUUGGGUUAAGCCCCGCAACGAGCGCAACCCUUGUCCUUAGUUGCCAGCACUUCGGGUGGGCACUCUAAGGAGACCGCCGGUGACAAACCGGAGGAAGGUGGGGAUGACGUCAAGUCAUCAUGGCCUUUAUGGCCAGGGCUACACACGUGCUACAAUGGCCGGUACAAAGGGUUGCCAACCCGCAAGGGGGAGCCAAUCCCAGAAAGCCGGUCGUAGUCCGGAUCGGAGUCUGCAACUCGACUCCGUGAAGUCGGAAUCGCUAGUAAUCGCGAAUCAGCAUUGUCGCGGUGAAUACGUUCCCGGGUCUUGUACACACCGCCCGUCACACCAUGGGAGUUGAUUGCACCAGAAGCAGGUAGCCUGACCGCAAGGGGNCGCNUA
rnacentral:rRNA from 1 species